UCCUUCAAAGCCACCCUAUGUUAGAGCCCAACCUAAUGGACUCAUAACUGUUAUCUGCUCAUUCUUUUCCAAGUGGGUUUGAGUUAUCAGCUCAAUUUGGCCGCUUUAUGGCCAAAGGCAGGAGGCCAGGAGGCUAACAACGAGUCGCAGUGAAAGGCUACUGGGAAGCUUUGCUUACAGUAAUGGCCAAGACACCACCGUCAACGACUCGUCGGAGCUAGGCGAGGACGAUGUAUGGUCGAUGGUUGAUGAUGCGGCUAAUGGGAAUGACCAGAUUAGCAAUAAUUCUAAGGGAGAGUGGGUUUCGCGCGACGAUGUUGAAAGUAAUGGGAAUAUUUCUAUGAGGAGCCGCCGCCGUAUCCCCCGAGAUGACCACCGCCACCACGUGGGGGGUUUGUCUUUGGCCUUCGAAAAUUCUUCGGGCAAAGCGGCAGCGUCCAGAAUCGUGCACCAGUUCCGUGGACAUGAAAACGUGGCAGCAACAUCUCCUCAUCACAUGGCCACGUCAGCUCCUGUGAACGUGCCGGACUGGAGCCAGAUCCUUCGGGUCGACUCGGUUGAGUCAUUGCCUGAUUCGGAUGACGGCUAUGACGACCGUGAUUCAGAGAUAGUUCCCCCACACGAGUACCUAGCGCGUGAGUACGCUAGGAGCAGGAAAAUGGGCUGCGCCUCUGUCUUUGAGGGCGUCGGAAGGACGCUUAAGGGCCGUGACAUGAGGCGCGUGCGAGAUGCAGUGUGGAGCCAAACAGGGUUCGACGGAUAACCGUUCUACAACCCACACACAAGGAGACUGGUUCUAUUUUAUAUAUUUAUUUUUGUCGGCAAUGAUUCGGAAGAGUUGACUCGGUAUUGGACUGAGUCAACUCGGUAACGAGUGAGCUCAGGCACGAUUCUGCUUGAUGAGGUGCCACUAUUUUUGUCCAAGAUUGGAAUUUAGGAGUUGGAAUUCAUGCCCAGUUUGUUAGUAGUAGUUUUUCAAAAUUUUUUCCAUAU
rnacentral:misc_RNA from 1 species